CCGGAUUCUCGAUACAUGUGUCACAGAUUCGUCACCAGUUCACUGAGAUGGAAACGAUGUACAGAUCUGUCAACGAAACCAAGGCUCGAAUCUGUGAAUUGUUGACCAGCAGAAGAGUGCAAAACUGUUCCGAGAAUUGGAUCAGGAAUAAUGACCGGUGUUAUAACGUCUCCACGUUUCAAACAAAUUUCUCCAGAGCGAUAGAAGAAUGUUCAAG